CACACACACACACACCAACAUGAUGUAGGGAAUCCCUCAUUGAGACUCUCAGGUGAUCCUGGGUUGUGUCGUUGCCAACUAAUGCUAACCAUGACAUGUAUCACGGGCAAUGAAGACACAGUUCCACACCAGAGCUCCCGCACAGGAGUAAACACCUAUUGCUGUGAAGUAUACUGUUUCUGUGGAAUAGAAGCAUUCUUUAAAGGAAGAACUAACCAUGUAACAUCCUCUCCAAGACUCAGGGGGCAUCAUAGAAGAGUGGUUGGAAGGAAUGGAAGAGCAUGAAGAUGGCAUAUACUCCAAAUCCUAACCAGAAUAACACCAUCUUGCAGCAAGCCACACUCUGCUGGUCUAUAUGCCAGACUACAACCAAACAAACCAUCCUUCUCACAAUUAGAUGUUGUUUUGUAAGACCAGCAAAAUCUUUGAUGAGUUUCCCAGUGUCUGUCUGUGCCUUAUGUUUUCCGAGUUUGUUGUCUACUCUAAUGCUUAACUGUUAAUCCCAAAGAGGCAAGGGAAAAGACCACCAACCCAAAUCAUCAUGAACAAAUUAAAUAAAGCAAUUAAUUAAAGCAA